CUGGCGGCGUGCUAACACAUAGCAAGUCGAACGAAGCAACUAUUACGAUCCUUCGGGUGACAAUUGUUGACUGAGUGGCGGACGGGUGAGUAACGCGUGGGUAACCGUACCUUGUACAGGGGGACGAACAGUUGGAAACGACUGCUAAUACCGCAUAAGCGCACGGUAUCGCAUGAUACAGUGUGAAAAGUUUUUUCGGUACAAGAUGGACCCGCGUCUGAUUAGCUAGUUGGUGAGGUAACGGCUCACCAAGGCGACGAUCAGUAGCCGACCUGAGAGGGUGACCGGCCACAUUGGGACUGAGACACGGCCCAAACUCCUACGGGAGGCAGCAGUGGGGAAUAUUGCACAAUGGGCGCAAGCCUGAUGCAGCCGACGCCGCGUGAGCGAAGAAGUAUUUCGGUAUGUAAAGCUCUAUCAGCAGGGAAGAUAAUGACGGUACCUGACUAAGAAGCACCGGCUAAAUACGUGCCAGCCGCCGC
rnacentral:rRNA from 1 species